GCCCUCGUGGCGGAAUUGGCAUACGCGGCAGGUUGAGGGCCUGUGUCCGUAAGGACGUGGAGGUUCAAGUCCUCUCGAGGGCA
rnacentral:tRNA from 1 species